UACGUAUGGAGCAAGCGUUAUCCGGAUUUACUGGGUGUAAAGGGAGCGUAGACGGGAAGGCAAGUCUGAUGUGAAAGGCCGCGGCUCAACUGCGGGACUGCAUUGGAAACUGUUUUUCUUGAGUGCCGGAGGGGCAAGCGGAAUUCCUAGUGCAGCGGUGAAAUGCGUAGAUAUUAGGAGGAACACCAGUGGCGAAGGCGGCUUGCUGGACGGCAACUGACGUUGAGGCUCGAAAGCGUGGGGAGCAAAC
rnacentral:rRNA from 1 species